rnacentral:rRNA from 1 species
GACGAACGCUGGCGGCGUGCUUAACACAUGCAAGUCGAACGCUGAAGCUUGGUGCUUGCACUGGGUGGAUGAGUGGCGAACGGGUGAGUAAUACGUGAGUAACCUGCCCUUGACUCUGGGAUAAGCCUGGGAAACUGGGUCUAAUACUGGAUACGACAUGUCACCGCAUGGUGGUGUGUGGAAAGGGUUUUACUGGUUUUGGAUGGGCUCACGGCCUAUCAGCUUGUUGGUGGGGUAAUGGCUCACCAAGGCGACGACGGGUAGCCGGCCUGAGAGGGUGACCGGCCACACUGGGACUGAGACACGGCCCAGACUCCUACGGGAGGCAGCAGUGGGGAAUAUUGCACAAUGGGCGGAAGCCUGAUGCAGCGACGCCGCGUGAGGGAUGACGGCCUUCGGGUUGUAAACCUCUUUCAGCACGGAGGAAGCGAAAGUGACGGUACGUGCAGAAGAAGCGCCGGCUAACUACGUG